rnacentral:tRNA from 1 species
GGUUGUGGCUCAAUGGUAGAAUGCUCGAUUUGCAUGUGCGAGGCCCUGGGUUUGAUCCUCAGCACCA